rnacentral:rRNA from 1 species
GUUCUCCCUGACUCCUUGAGAGUCCUGAAGGAACGUUGAAGACGACGACGUUGAUAGGCCGGGUGUGUAAGCGCAGCGAUGCGUUGAGCUAACCGGUACUAAUGAACCGUGAGGCUUAACCUU